rnacentral:rRNA from 1 species
CCUACGGGAGGCUGCAGUGAGGAAUAUUGGUCAAUGGGCUCACGCCUGAACCAGCCAAGUCGCGUGAGGGAAGACUGCCCUAUGGGUUGUAAACUUCUUUUGUCAGGGAGUAAUUUGCGCUACGUGUAGUGCUAUCCAUAGUACCUGAAGAAAAAGCACCGUCUAACACCUUGCCGGCAGCCGCGGUAUUACGGAGGAGGCGAGGGUUCUCCGGUUUUAUUGGGUUUAAAGGGUGCGUAGGCGGAGUGCCAAGUCAGCGGUAAAAUCGCGGGGCUAAACCUCGCUCUGCCGUUGAAACUGGCGUUCUUGAGUGGGGGAGAGGUAGGCGGAAUGCGUGGUGUAGCGGUGAAAUGCAUAGAUAUCACGAAGAACUCCGAUUGCGAAGGCAGCCUGCCGGA